rnacentral:lncRNA from 1 species
UCUAUAUUUUAUAUGGAGUGCUAGAGAUAGACUUUAAUGGCACUUUGUUCAAAAUUUAUACUACGACCUCGAGAGCAAAUCCUCAAAAGAAGAUCAGAAGAUCUGUGAAAUACAUCAUGGACCACACCAUAUCUAAUAAGAUGUGAUUCCUCCUUUCUGCAAUACUAUUUAAUUAUGGAGUGUAAGGAGGUGUCCACUGAAAGAGAAUAUUAUUUUAUUUUAAAUGAUCAAGGAACUAACUACUUAAGUAUUCCCUCUUCGAC